AUUGAACGCUGGCGGCAUGCUUUACACAUGCAAGUCGAACGGUAACAGGGAGCUUGCUCCGCUGACGAGUGGCGAACGGGUGAGUAAUGCGUCGGAACGUGCCGAGUAGUGGGGGAUAACGCAUCGAAAGGUGUGCUAAUACCGCAUACGUACUGAGGUAGAAAGUGGGGGACCUUCGGGCCUCACGCUAUUCGAGCGGCCGACGUCUGAUUAGCUAGUUGGUGAGGUAAAGGCUCACCAAGGCGACGAUCAGUAGCGGGUCUGAGAGGAUGAUCGGCCGCACUGGGACUGGGACACGGCCCAGUCUCCUACGGGAGGCAGCAGUGGGGAAUUUUGGACAAUGGGCGCAAGCCUGAUCCAGCCAUGCCGCGUGUCUGAAGAAGGCCUUCGGGUUGUAAAGGACUUUUGUCCGGGAGCAAAUGCUGGUGGCUAACAUCCACCGGAGCUGAGAGUACCGGAAGAAUAAGCACCGGCUAACUACGUGCCAGCCGCCGCCGUAAUAC
rnacentral:rRNA from 1 species